rnacentral:rRNA from 1 species
GUGGGGAAUCUUCCGCAAUGGACGAAAGUCUGACGGAGCAACGCCGCGUGAGUGAAGAAGGUUUUCGGAUCGUAAAGCUCUUUCGUUAGGGACGAACGUGCUCUUUGUGAAUAAUGAGGAGUAAUGACGGUACCUAAAUAAGAAGCCACGGCUAACUACGUGCCAGCAGCCGCGGUAAUACGUAGGUGGCAAGCGUUGUCCGGAAUUAUUGGGCGUAAAGCGCGCGCAGGCGGGAUAUCAAGUCUGUCUUAAAAGUGCGAGGCUCAACCUCGUGAGGGGACAGAAACUGGUAUUCUUGAGUGUCGGAGAGGAAAGUGGAAUUCCAAGUGUAGCGGUGAAAUGCGUAGAGAUUUGGAAGAACACCAGUGGCGAAGGCGACUUUCUGGACGAUGUCUGACGCUGAGGCGCGAAAGCUAGGGGAGCGAACGGGAUUAGAAACCCCAG